UCAGACAAGUCAAUACGUUUAAAUUACAAGCAUACUCAAAUCCUGACAUUUUUGUAUUCUGCAUCAUUGCUAGGAACUUCUCUUCUGCAUUUUACCAUGAUCCACACUCCUGCUCAAAAGUCGUAUAUGAAAAAUCAGCUAGCAGAAGAUGUAUCUCUUGGAAUGAAAACCCAGCUGAGAAUGUCAUGGCAUUUUCAAGAAGUGCAGGUAUGAAGUAAGGCUGUUCCCUGGAGAUGAAUGAAUGUACACUCACACUUUGGCCACCUUGAAAAUAAGAGAUACGUAUAAAAACAGAAUGACCGAAGACAUGCCAAGUUCCCACGUGUGAUAACAACAACCACCUUAUGUACUUUCAUC